rnacentral:lncRNA from 1 species
CUGGAAUGCCAACCAAGGACCUGAAUUCACUUGGGAGCGCGAGAAUCAAUCGAUUAGGAAGUAUCCCCACUUUUUGGGCUCGAUUAUUCAUGCUUACUUCCGUUACCUAAAUUCUAAUUUCGGGACGAAAUUCCUUCUAACGGGGGGAUGAUGUGACAACCCGAAAUUUCUAUUCUGUACAACCCUUCACUUCAAUAGAAGUCAGAAUAGUUUCUGCAAACUUUCAAGCUUUUUGGAAUAAGUUUGAGUAUGUUAGGAUUAACCCUUUUAGGAGAUAUCAGGAGAGAGGAUGCCCUAGGGUUUAUUGUGCAUCAUUAAAGUUCCAAAAACUUCAAGAGUUUGGAGUUUACGGCCCAAAUGGUAUUUGGACCAUAAACCCUAGUGAGUAUAUAUAUAUAUGGCACUUAGCCAUUUAAAUCACUUUUUCACCAUUUCAAAGUUACAACUCAAAUCCCCUCAAGUAGCAUCCGACCUAUCCUUCUAGAUCUUCAACCUAGUAAGUGUUCCUAACCCUUUUAAGUUGGUAUAUCACUUAAUCUAGUGUUUUAACACACUUCCAUCCGUAAAAAUGUUCCAAAAGGUUAGAUCUUCAAGUUUCACCAAGAACACCAAGAACACACACUAGUGUUCUUGGCCUUUUGGUACCAUUUCAAGCCUUUAACCUGUAAGUACUUCUAUCCUAGAGUAUCUCUAGGCUUCUUAUACUUCCAUAUAUCAAGAAAACACCCAAGAAACUGAAGAUCAAAGGUGUUUACGGUCCAAGAUGUUCUUGGACCGUAAACCCUAAAAAGUGUGCCAAAGUGGCCCUAGUCCCUUCUCAAGCUUUGGAAACCAGUUUAGACCCCUUCCUUGAUGUGUUUAGGACUCGAAAACGUUAAAAGCCCUUAUAUCAUAUGUGUUUACGACCGUGAACACAUGGAAUAGUAGUCCAUGGGCCAUAAACUACAUAUAAGAGUGAUUUGAUGCCACAAACACUUCCAUACACUUAUGCUUCAAGUAGAAUUGCUUCUAAGGACUCAUAAGGCUUCAGAACUCAAAGUGGUCAAAUAAGCAUGAGUUUACGGCCAUNCCAUGGAAAUAGUGCAAUUAGGGAAACUUUGCGCGGAGUUCUCUAAAUACGAGUAUUGGAAUUGAUGAGUCAAAUUCCUAAGACACACUAUUAGUGAUGUGGAAAUUCCUGAGGACCCUUUCAAUUUAUCAAAACCGUUGAGAAUUUGUCAGCACCAAAGGCGCCGAUGGGAAUUCGCCAAAUUCUAAGUCUUGCAGACCUACUAUCGUAGUUCAUUUAGAACUCCUGGAAAAUUAUGGAACCUCUUACGACUUUGACCCAGAAGGGAGUGGCCCUUGACUGGGAAGAGGAGCAAGAGGGAGAAACCCUUGGAACUCCAGGUGAGAGACCAAAUUCUUUUGGAAGUCUCACUCUGGGAAGGCUUAAUAUGCUUCAUAAAGCGUGGAAAGCUAAAUUCAAGAUAGUUAGGACCUCCGAGAUUCUUGCCAUAACCGGCCUUGUAUCUCACAAACUCAAUCUACCCCGCGAGCUUAGAAACAUACAUUCUACCCUUCACGUCUCGAGCUUGCAAAAAGUAUCAAUCCGACGAGACUCUUGAAAUCCCACUCGAAGAGAUCGAGUUCCACAAGAGUCUCACCUGCGUGGAAGAACCGUAGUGACCAUGGAUUGAGAGGUCAUGCGAACGAUUCAUAGCCAUUUCCCUUUAGUGAAGGUUUGCUGGAAUGCCAACCAAGGACCUGAAUUCACUUGGGAGCGCGAGAAUCAAUCGAUUAGGAAGUAUCCCCACUUUUUUGGCUCGAUUAUUCAUGCUUACUUCCGUUACCUAAAUUCUAAUUUCGGGACGAAAUUCCUUCUAACGGGGGGAUGAUGUGACAACCCGAAAUUUCUAUUCUGUACAACCCUUCACUUCAAUAGAAGUCAGAAUAGUUUCUGCAAACUUUCAAGCUUUUUGGAAUAAGUUUGAGUAUGUUAGGAUUAACCCUUUUAGGAGAUAUCAGGAGAGAGGAUGCCCUAGGGUUUAUUGUGCAUCAUUAAAGUUCCAAAAACUUCAAGAGUUUGGAGU